rnacentral:rRNA from 1 species
AUUCCUACGGGAGGCAGCAGUGGGGAAUCUUGGACAAUGGGCGCAAGCCUGAUCCAGCCAUGCCGCGUGAGUGAUGAAGGCCUUAGGGUCGUAAAGCUCUUUCGCCAGGGAUGAUAAUGACAGUACCUGGUAAAGAAACCCCGGCUAACUCCGUGCCAGCAGCCGCGGUAAUACGGAGGGGGUUAGCGUUGUUCGGAAUUACUGGGCGUAAAGCGCGCGUAGGCGGGUUGUUAAGUUAGAGGUGAAAUCCCGGGGCUCAACCCCGGAACUGCCUUUAAUACUGGCAACCUAGAGUUCGAGAGAGGUGAGUGGAAUUCCGAGUGUAGAGGUGAAAUUCGUAGAUAUUCGGAGGAACACCAGUGGCGAAGGCGGCUCACUGGCUCGAUACUGACGCUGAGGUGCGAAAGUGUGGGGAGCAAACAGGAUUAGAUACCCUGGUAGUCCACACCGUAAACGAUGAAUGCCAGUCGUCGGGUAGCAUGCUAUUCGGUGACACACCUAACGGAUUAAGCAUUCCGCCUGGGGAGUACGGUCGCAAGAUUAAAACUCAAAGGAA